rnacentral:rRNA from 1 species
UACGUAGGUGGCUAGCGUUGUCCGGAUUUACUGGGCGUAAAGAGCGCGCAGGCGGUCGUUCAAGUCGCGUGUGAAAGCCCCCGGCUCAACUGGGGAGGGUCACGCGAUACUGAUCGACUCGAAGGCAGGAGAGGGUAGUGGAAUUCCCGGUGUAGUGGUGAAAUGCGUAGAUAUCGGGAGGAACACCAGUGGCGAAGGCGACUACCUGGCCUGUUCUUGACGCUGAGGCGCGAAAGCUAGGGGAGCAAAGC